GACGAACGCAGGCGGCGUGCCUAAUACAUGCAAGUCGAGCGAAUGGAUUAAGAGCUUGCUCUUAUGAAGUUAGCGGCGGACGGGUGAGUAACACGUGGGUAACCUGCCCAUAAGACUGGGAUAACUCCGGGAAACCGGGGCUAAUACCGGAUAACAUUUUGAACCGCAUGGUUCGAAAUUGAAAGGCGGCUUCGGCUGUCACUAAUGGAUGGACCCGCGUCGCAUUAGCUAGUUGGUGAGGUAACGGCUCACCAAGGCAACGAUGCGUAGCCGACAUGGGAGGGUGAUCGGCCACACUGGGACGGAGACACGGCCCAGACUCCUACGGGAGGCAGCAGUAGGGAAUCUUCCGCAAUGGACGAAAGUCUGACGGAGCAACGCCGCGUGAGUGAUGAAGGCUUUCGGGUCGUAAAACUCUGUUGUUAGGGAAGAACAAGUGCUAGUUGAAUAAGCUGGCACCUUGACGGUACCUAACCAGAAAGCCACGGCUAACUACGUGCCAGCCGCCGCCGUAA
rnacentral:rRNA from 1 species